rnacentral:lncRNA from 1 species
GUCCAGUUUUGUUCAGGAAGCUGGGGUCCUUCCUGUGCCUCCAAGGAGUGGGGAUGACCAAGUGGCAGGUCUGGUUGAUAGAACCUGAGUAAAGGCAGCUGUGGGGAGUUUGGGGGGUGUUCUCCUCACCCUUGCUGUGUGUCAAAGAGUGGAACACACCUUCUGUGACUCAUGGCCACUGUUGAAGGUGUGAAGACCAGAGCUACUACUACACCACCCUGAGAAGCAAGCCCGGAUGUUCCAGUGGAACUAGGUAGAGGCCAGGUCCUGCAGCAGCUGCGCUCCAGAGCUCCUGGUAGGAUUCUCACUCCUUAGGAAACUCCAGUCAUUGCAACCUUCAAAGGAGAAAAAAGGACUCC